rnacentral:rRNA from 1 species
AGUGAACGCUGGCGGUAGGCCUAACACAUGCAAGUCGAACGGCAGCACAGUAAGAGCUUGCUCUUACGGGUGGCGAGUGGCGGACGGGUGAGGAAUACAUCGGAAUCUACUUUUUCGUGGGGGAUAACGUAGGGAAACUUACGCUAAUACCGCAUACGACCUACGGGUGAAAGCAGGGGAUCUUCGGACCUUGCGCGAUUGAAUGAGCCGAUGUCGGAUUAGCUAGUUGGCGGGGUAAAGGCCCACCAAGGCGACGAUCCGUAGCUGGUCUGAGAGGAUGAUCAGCCACACUGGAACUGAGACACGGUCCAGACUCCUACGGGAGGCCGCAGUGGGGAAUAUUGGCCAAUGGGCGCAAGCCUGAUCCAGCCAUACCGCGUGGGUGAAGAAGGCCUUCGGGUUGUAAAGCCCUUUUGUUGGGAAAGAAAAGCAGCAGGUUAAUACCCCGCUGUUCUGACGGUACCCAAAGAAUAAGCACCGGCUAACUUCGUG